AAAUGAAUAGACGGGGGCCCGCACAAGCAGUGGAUUAUGUGGUUUAAUUCGAAGCAACGCGAAGAACCUUACCAGGUCUUGACAUCGAGUGACGUACCUAGAGAUAGGUAUUUCCUUCGGGACACGAAGACAGGUGGUGCAUGGUUGUCGUCAGCUCGUGUCGUGAGAUGUUGGGUUAAGUCCCGCAACGAGCGCAACCCCUGCCAUUAGUUGCUACGCAAGAGCACUCUAAUGGGACCGCCGCCGACAAGGUGGAGGAAGGUGGGGACGACGUCAAAUCAUCAUGCCCCUUAUGACCUGGGCUACACACGUAAUACAAUGGCCGUUAACAACGAGAAGCAAAGCCGCGAGGUGGAGCAAAUCUCCAAAAACGGUCUCAGUUCGGAUUGCAGGCUGCAACUCGCCUGCAUGAAGUUGGAAUUGCUAGUAAUCGUGGAUCAGCACGCCGCGGUGAAUACGUUCCCGGGCCUUGUACACACCGCCCGU
rnacentral:rRNA from 1 species